UAGGUAGGUCCCGAGCGUUGUCCGGAUUUAUUGGGCGUAAAGCGAGCGCAGGUGGUUUAUUAAGUCUGGUGUAAAAGGCAGUGGCUCAACCAUUGUAUGCAUUGGAAACUGGUAGACUUGAGUGCAGGAGAGGAGAGUGGAAUUCCAUGUGUAGCGGUGAAAUGCGUAGAUAUAUGGAGGAACACCGGUGGCGAAAGCGGCUCUCUGGCCUGUAACUGACACUGAGGCUCGAAAGCGUGGGGAGCAAACAGG
rnacentral:rRNA from 1 species